AUUGAACGCUGGCGGCAGGCCUAACACAUGCAAGUCGAACGGUAACAGGAAGCAGCUUGCUGCUUUGCUGACGAGUGGCGGACGGGUGAGUAAUGUCUGGGAAACUGCCUGAUGGAGGGGGAUAACUACUGGAAACGGUAGCUAAUACCGCAUAACGUCGCAAGACCAAAGAGGGGGACCUUCGGGCCUCUUGCCAUCGGAUGUGCCCAGAUGGGAUUCGCUAGUAGGUGGGGUAACGGCUCACCUAGGCGACGAUCCCUAGCUGGUCUGAGAGGAUGACCAGCCACACUGGAACUGAGACACGGUCCAGACUCCUACGGGAGGCAGCAGUGGGGAAUAUUGCACAAUGGGCGCAAGCCUGAUGCAGCCAUGCCGCGUGUAUGAAGAAGGCCUUCGGGUUGUAAAGUACUUUCAGCGGGGAGGAAGGGAGUAAAGUUAAUACCUUGGCUCAUUGACGUUACCCGCAGAAGAAGCACCGGCUAACUCCGUG
rnacentral:rRNA from 1 species